ACCUAACCUCACUAUAGGAGUCCUGGUUUCCAUACUGGUCAUAUUCGCUACUGUCAUUUUCAAGCUUCUCUUCGGCAGAAAGAAACCUCAAUCACCGGCUCCACCAGCUGCUACUGUCGCACCAGCUGCUCAACCCCAGAACCCUGAUUCUGUAGAGUCUGAAGUUCUAGGAAGCAGUGAAGAGAAAGAAGAGGAAGGGAAGGAUGAUGUAUCAGCACCACGCCCUAGGAGAUCUAGGAGGGAGACAUAAAGGUAAUCAGGUCUUCAAAUUUCGUGUGCUAUAAAUAUAUUCAGUCUUCAGUUUGAAGCUUCAGAAGUUAACUUGGAAAAGAUGGAUUUUUAGUUUAUCUUUCCUCUCUUCUUGUUUUUCUUAGAAUCAAC